rnacentral:rRNA from 1 species
AUACGUAUGUCGCAAGCGUUAUCCGGAUUUAUUGGGCGUAAAGCGCGUCUAGGCGGCUUAGUAAGUCUGAUGUGAAAAUGCGGGGCUCAACCCCGUAUUGCGUUGGAAACUGCUAAACUAGAGUACUGGAGAGGUAGGCGGAACUACAAGUGUAGAGGUGAAAUUCGUAGAUAUUUGUAGGAAUGCCGAUGGGGAAGCCAGCCCACUGGACAGUUGCUGACGCUAAAGCGCGAAGGCGUGGGAAGCAAACAGGUUUAGAUACCCUGGGAGGCCACGCCGUAAACGAUGAUUACUAGGUGUGGGGGGUCGAACCUCAGCGCCCAAGCUAACGCAAUAAGUAAUCCGCCUGGGGAGUACGUACGCAAGUAUGAAACUCAAAUGUAUUGACGGGG